CCCAGUCAAAAACUUCAAAUUUUAAAUCUAACCUAAAACUCUCUUAGCGGCAACUAAAAAAUUGUAUGUGAUGAGCGGGAAAAGGAGGGAGGACGAGACCGGCUAUUCUCUUAUUAACCUUUUGUUUGAUUCCUAUUAUGAUCGUAUUCUUAAUCGAAGCAUCGCAUAUGAACCUUAGCGACAUCAGUCGGUUAUGGAUUGAUCUACAAUACCAUCUCGUUUUUGUAUUUUGGAUCCAUUGUUUACAUCAUGACCCGACCAAGACAUGUUUUCUUAGUUGAUUAUGUUUGUUCUGCAAUCGGUGUUGGACAACCAGAGUCUGCUACUAAGCUUCGCACUUGCAAUUGAUUUAUUGAAUCAGCGAUUAGGGAGAGCCGGAGACCGACAAACAAAUAGUUUGAUUUGGAACCAUGUCCUUGUUCAAGAUUUCAAUUGUGCAUUACAAGAGAAUUUUAUACUUCAAGUUUGUUUGGUACUCGAAGGGUAAUUACCCGAUGAAUACCCAACUGGUUUUGCGUUGGAUAUGGUUUAUAACCAGGUAUGAGUAUGGGCAGGAGCGGUUCUUAGAAGUGUAGUGGCAGGGCCACGGUCCGGGUCAUAUGUACCUGUCAACUCAUCACAUAUGCUUCUACAUAUACUUAUUUGGAUUUGAGACAGAAUGUCAUGCUAUGAUCAGAUUGUAUUUCAUAGAAUUCUAUGCAAUUGGGAUGCGGAAGAAAGUUGGAUAUCUAAAGAAGCGACUACAAUAUAUAUAUGAUGAAGCCGAGAAACUAGCAUACUAUGGAAUCAAUGAGCGACAAGUCCAUUAUGGAGAAUGGAGUUGGACGAAGCUCUAUUUGCUUACAUGGGUGGGGGUUGAUCCAAUUAGCUAUUGAUGAUAACAAAAUGAGUACUACUAAAUAAGCAAAGUGUCCUACUUACGACGAGCUAGUGGAUGCACUUCAAACACCAACAAGUUAAUGUGCAAUAAUGGAACAAGCGCUGAUUCAAACUAAUAUCAUGUCUCCUUCAAGCCCAUCUCGAAAAUCUCAAGGUGAUACAUCAACGUAUCGAUGAGUAAAGUCGUUUUAGUAAUUAUGUAACAUGUUAGUAACUUACGAACAAUUUCAGUUUUGUUUGUUUAAGUAUUUUAUUUGGUUGUUUGAACGAUGAUGUUCUGAUUAUGAAUGUUAAUUUGGCCAUAAAUGUU